UACGUAGGGUGCGAGCGUUGUCCGGAAUUAUUGGGCGUAAAGGGCGCGUAGGCGGCCCGCCGCGUCCGGGGUGAAAUCCUCCCGCUCAACGGGAGCACGGCCUCGGAUACGGGCGGGCUGGAGGGGGGUAGGGGCAGGCGGAACUGUGGGUGGAGCGGUGAAAUGCGUUGAGAUCCACAGGAACUCCGGUGGCGAAGGCGGCCUGCUGGACCCCAUCUGACGCUGAGGCGCGAAAGCGUGGGGAGCGAACAGG
rnacentral:rRNA from 1 species